AAUGUAAUGUGAUGGAAUCUGGAAUCAGAAGUAUGUUUUCUUUUAGCUCCAUUUUUCACAUUUUAGACGCAUCCCUUUGUGUGUUUUUGAAGGUAGUGAGUUUUUAGACUAAAAAGGUCAAUUAUGCGCAAAAUUGAAUAUGGCCUCCAAAUUCAGAGGGAAAAUUGAGCUUUUUUUUCCUUUGGUUUUUUUCCAAUUCAAAUUAGGUAAUUUGCCUUUUCAGUUCCAUUUGGGGAACCCCUAAUUACCACCGACAUAUUUUAUUGAAUGGCAUUGAUAACGCUCAGCGAGAUUUAAAAAGCUCUAACUUCAUCGUAUUGCACCUCCUUCAAUUAGACACAGUAGCAAAAAAAUGCAGUCAUCCCUUUCAAAUUGGAACGUUCAAAUCAACCAUUUGAGUUUUAGAUCAAACAGAAGCCUACUAAGAUCAAGCUCUCUACCAAGAAAAGAACUCCGUUGUGUUAUUCUCACUUCCUCUGCUAAAUCCUUCUCAAAACUUCUACUCCCAAAUAAACACUGGAUCUCACCCCCUAGCCUCCUGUCGAGAGCAAAAUCAACAAUCCCAGUUCUUGAUUGUGGCAUAUCAUCAGACAAUUUAAGCACAGGUAGUGAUCGGAGUUUUAGGGAGUGGAUUGGGGUGGUUGGUGAGGCGAUAUCUACGGCAUUUCCUAUAUGGGUAUCUUUGGGUUGUUUAUUGGCGCUCAUACUUAUUCUCACUUAUAUAUAAUAAAAAUUAUUAAAAAAUAUAGAAAAUUUCUGAAAAAAGGGAAAGGAAAUGCUUGAAGGAAAAUAUGCCAAGUCAACUUUUUAAAUUUUUUUCUUUAGGAUUAUAUAUAUAUAUAUAUAGAUUAAAGUAUUUCAAACUGCAUAGUUUUAGAAUAAAGUAGAAGUUUUUUUAAUAUUAAAAUUUUAAAAUAUUGUACACAAGUUUCAUAUUUUUAUAUUAAAAUAAAUAAUUAAAAAUAAAAGAUAAAAAAAUAAAGUUCGGUAUAUGGAUUAGAAUAUGAAAUUUUUAUUAUGCUUCCACUCCAUAUUUUAUUAUCAAGAUUUUAAAAAAUACGUUUCAUUUUAAAAUGUUAUUUCAAAAUUCUAUUCCAAAUUGAUUUGUAAUUUCAAUUUAUUUUAUUUCAAAAUUCUACUCCAAAUUGAUUUGUCAUUUCAAUUUGAAUGGGCAUAUUUCAAACCAAUUUAUAUUUCAAUUUUUUUCCGUUGAUCCUUAUUUUUGGAUUGUCCUAUUCACUGCAUUUUUUGCUUCAAGAAUCUGAAACUUUUUUUUAUUUUUUCUAUUUUUAUUGGUACAUGAUUUUUUUUUAUUAUUACUUCUUAUUUUUGGAUCGUCCUAUUCACUGUUUACUGAACCUGAAAUCUCAUUCUUUGGCUUACGGGUAGUAUUACUACUUCGUCUUAACGUCUUAUUGAUUGUUUUAUGUCUCUUAUGAACUGAUCUCUCUAUUUGUUAUUGGUUUUUGGAUUAAAUGACAUAGCUUGUGUCUUUAUAUACAGAUUUGUGCGUUUUGUGUGAAUGUAAUGUGAUGGAAUCUGGAAUCAGAAGUAUGUUUUCUUUUAGCUCCAUUUUUCACAUUUUAGACGCAUCCCUUUGUGUGUUUUUGAAGGUAGUGAGUUUUUAGACUAAAAAGGUCAAUUAUGCGCAAAAUUGAAUAUGGCCUCCAAAUUCAGAGGGAAAAUUGAGCUUUUUUUUCCUUUGGUUUUUUUCCAAUUCAAAUUAGGUAAUUUGCCUUUUCAGUUCCAUUUGGGGAACCCCUAAUUACCACCGACAUAUUUUAUUGAAUGGCAUUGAUAACGCUCAGCGAGAUUUAAAAAGCUCUAACUUCAUCGUAUUGCACCUCCUUCAAUUAGACACAGUAGCAAAAAAAUGCAGUCAUCCCUUUCAAAUUGGAACGUUCAAAUCAACCAUUUGAGUUUUAGAUCAAACAGAAGCCUACUAAGAUCAAGCUCUCUACCAAGAAAAGAACUCCGUUGUGUUAUUCUCACUUCCUCUGCUAAAUCCUUCUCAAAACUUCUACUCCCAAAUAAACACUGGAUCUCACCCCCUAGCCUCCUGUCGAGAG
rnacentral:lncRNA from 1 species